rnacentral:rRNA from 1 species
AAAGCGAAGUAAUGAAGAGCACACGGGGGAUGCCUAGGGUCUCAGAGGCGAAGAAGGACGCGAUAAGCUGCGAUAAGGCGUGGGGAGGGGCACAUGCCCGGUGAUCCGCGCAUUUCCGAAUGGGGCAACCCCGCGACUGGAAGAGUCGUGAACCGACGGGCUUGACCCGCGGUGGCAAACGCAGGGAACUGAAACAUCUAAGUACCUGCAGGAAAAGAAAAUAACAAUGAUUCCCCAAGUAGUGGCGAGCGAACGGGGAGGAGCCCAAACCACGGCGGUCACGGCCGCUGUGGGGUUGUAGGACCACGAGAUCUGAUUAAAUCGAGUUAGCUGAAGCCGGUGGGAAACGGUGCCAGAGACGGUGAGAGCCCGGUAAGCGACAAUUCUGAUUUACGGUAGUGGGAUCCUGAGUAGGGCGGGGCCGGAGAAACCCCGUCUGAAGCGAGCGGCACCAUCCGCUAAGGCUACAUACUCCUGAGACACCGAUAGUGAACUAGUACCGUGAGGGAAAGGUGAAAAGAACCGGGAAUACCGGAGUGAAAAGAACCUGAAACCGUGUGCUUACAAGCAGUCAGAGGGAUUUAGUGUCCUGAUGGCGUGCCUUUUGCAUAAUGAGCCUACGAGUUACUCCUCCCCGGCAAGGUUAAGGGCUUGAAGGCCCGGAGCCGCAGCGAAAGCGAGUCUGAACAGGGCGCGUAGUCGGGGGGGGUAGACGCGAAACUCGGUGAGCUACCCAUGACCAGGAUGAAGGUGCGGUAACACGCACUGGAGGUCCGAACCAGUUUCCGUUGAAAAGGAUUUGGAUGAGUUGUGGGUAGGGGUGAAAGGCCAAUCAAACUGAGAAAUAGCUCGUACUCCCCGAAAUGUAUUGAGGUACAGCGUCGGCGUAGAGCGUGUUGGAGGUAGAGCUACCGAUAGGACUAGGGGGUGUCAGAGCCUACCGAAUCCUGACGAACUCCGAAUGCCAGCACGUAUAGCCGGCAGUGAGGCCUGGGGUGCUAAGGUCCCCGGCCGAGAGGGAAAGAACCCAGACCAACAGCUAAGGUCCCUAAAUCCAGGUUAAGUUGAACAAAGGAGGUCCGAUUGCUUUGACAGCCAGGAGGUUGGCUUGGAAGCAGCCAUUCCUUUAAAGAGUGCGUAACAGCUCACUGGUCGAGCGAUCGGGCGUCGAUAAUACGCGGGCAUCAAACCUGGUACCGAAGCUUUGGAUGCGACUUGCAAGACAGUUGCGUGGUAGGGGAGCAUUCUUCUUGCGGAGAAGCCGUCUCGUCAGGGGCGGUGGAGCGUGGAGAAACGCAUAUGUAGGCAUGAGUAACGAUAAUGGGGGUGCGAAACCCCCACGCCGAUAGACCAAGGUUUCCAGCUCAACGCUAAUCGGAGCUGGGUUAGUCGGGACCUAAGGAAAAGCCGAGAGGUGUAUUCGAUGGCCAGCUGGUUAAUAGUCCAGCACUGAUGAAUUGAAGUGAUGCAGUGACGCAGAAGUGAAAGCACCGCGGGCGGACGGAAGUGCCCGUUGAAGGGCGUAGGUAGUGGGAGAGUAGUUAAGUACGCUCACCUAGCCGAAACCUGAUAGUACCGCACGGCCUUCGGGCCACGCGGAUAGUGUGCCUAAUCCGACUGCCAAGAAAACCUGCUAAGCGUUUUAAUUGAUUCAUCACCCGUACCGCAAACCGACACAGGUGGUCAAGGAGAGUAUCCUGAGGCGCUCGAGUGAAUCACGGCCAAGGAACUCGGCAAAAUGGACCUGUAACUUCGGGAGAAGGGUCGCUUCCUCUGGUGCAAGCCAGAGAAGCCGCAGUGAAAAGGCCCAGGCGACUGUUUAACAAAAACACAUGGCUAUGCCAACGCGCAAGCGGACGUAUAUGGCCUGACACCUGCCCGGUGCCGGAAGGUUAAGAGGGGAACUUAGUGGGGGCGACCUUGCGAAGGUUUGAAUCGAAGCCCCGGUAAACGGCGGCCGUAACUAUAACGGUCCUAAGGUAGCGAAAUUCCUUGUCGGGUAAGUUCCGACCUGCACGAAUGGUGUAACGAUCUGGGCGCUGUCUCAGCCGUGAGCUCGGUGAAAUUGUAGUCUCGGUGAAGAUGCCGAGUACCCGCCACGGGACGGAAAGACCCCGUGCACCUUUACUAUAGGUUGCCAUUGGUGUUGGGUUCGGCAUGUGUAGCAUAGGCGGGAGGCGCUGAACCGGGGCCGCUAGGUCUCGGGGAGCCAACGUUGAAAUACCGCCCUUGCCGUGCCUGAUGCCUAAUCCGCGAACGCGGAGACAGUGGCUGCUGGGUAGUUUGACUGGGGUGGUCGCCUCCAAAAGAGUAUCGGAGGCUUUCAAAGGUCCGCUCAGUCCGCUUGGUAACCGGACGCAGAGCGCAAUAGCAGAAGCGGGCUUGACUGCGAGACCUACAAGUCGAACAGGGUCGAAAGACGGAUAUAGUGAUCCGGUGGUUCCGCAUGGAAGGGCCAUCGCUCAAAGGAUAAAAGGUACGCCGGGGAUAACAGGCUGAUCUCCCCCAAGAGCUCAUAUCGACGGGGAGGUUUGGCACCUCGAUGUCGGCUCGUCACGUCCUGGGGCUGGAGAAGGUCCCAAGGGUUCGGCUGUUCGCCGAUUAAAGUGGCACGCGAGCUGGGUUCAGAACGUCGUGAGACAGUUCGGUCCCUAUCUGUGGUGGGCGUUGGAUAUUUGACAGGACCUGUCCUUAGUACGAGAGGACCGGGAUGGACCAGCCGCUGGUGCGCCGGUUGUACCGCCAGGUGCAGCGCCGGGUAGCUACGCUGGGAGGAGAUAAGCGCUGAAAGCAUCUAAGUGCGAAACUCACCUGGAGAUGAGAUAUCCCAAUUGGAAGGGCCGUGGGAGACGACCACGUGGAUAGGCGGCAGGUGAAAAACCAGAAAUGGAACAGCCGAGCCGUACUAAUGGCCCGAGGGCUUCGCA